rnacentral:rRNA from 1 species
UGCGUAGGCGGUUUGGUAAGUCUGAUGUGAAAUCUAUGGGCUCAACUCAUAGUCUGCAUCGGAAACUGCCGGGCUUGAGUGUGGGAGAGGUGAGUGGAAUUUCCGGUGUAGCGGUGAAAUGCGUAGAUAUCGGAAGGAACACCUGUGGCGAAAGCGGCUCACUGGACCACAACUGACGCUGAUGCACGAAAGCUAGGGGAGCAAACAGGAUUAGAUACCCUGGUAGUCCUAGCCCUAAACGAUGACUGCUUGGUGUGACGGGUACCCAAUCCCGCCGUGCCGUAGCUAACGCGUUAAGCAGUCCGCCUGGGGAGUACGGUCGCAAGGCUGAA